AACGCUGGCGGCGUGCCUAAUACAUGCAAGUCGAACGCACAGCGAAAGGUGCUUGCACCUUUCAAGUGAGUGGCGAACGGGUGAGUAACACGUGGACAACCUGCCUCAAGGCUGGGGAUAACAUUUGGAAACAGAUGCUAAUACCGAAUAAAACUUAGUGUCGCAUGACACAAAGUUAAAAGGCGCUUCGGCGUCACCUAGAGAUGGAUCCGCGGUGCAUUAGUUAGUUGGUGGGGUAAAGGCCUACCAAGACAAUGAUGCAUAGCCGAGUUGAGAGACUGAUCGGCCACAUUGGGACUGAGACAA
rnacentral:rRNA from 1 species